rnacentral:rRNA from 1 species
AGAAUCAACGCUGGCGGCGUGCCUAACACAUGCAAGUCGCACGAGAAAGUGGAGCAAUCCACGAGUAAAGUGGCGCACGGGUGAGUAACACGUGAAUAAUCUACCUCCGAGUGGGGAAUAACUGAGAGAAAUCUUAAGCUAAUACCGCAUAAUACCCACGGGUCAAAGCAGCAAUGCGCUUGGAGAGGAGUUUCGCGGCCGAUUAGCUAGUUGGCGGGUAAUGGCCCACCAAGGCGAUGAUCGGUA